rnacentral:misc_RNA from 1 species
GGAAUUGUAUCCGAUGGCAAUGGUCAAGGCAUAAGUACCCCAUUAUGGAAUAAUCAUCUCAAUGAAAGAAAUGAAGGUUCUAAAUGUAGAGGUGAAGAUCAGAAUGAAAAAGGAUUGCCUCUUCAUUCGACUUAUCAGGCUAAAGCUCCAUCAUCCCAUGAUCCUGCUGGAACUGGAUCAAUUAAUGCUGGUGUUGCAACUCCUGAUAACUCUUGUGGGCUUAGUGGGGAAUGUGAGGAAGGAAGUAGGGGAUUGGAGGGAGAUGGUGAUGAACCUAAAAUUAAAAGGAGGAAAAAUGAUAAUCAAUCAA